AAUGAAGUGCCUGAUAAAAGGAUUAAACUGUAAAUUUAAUUAUAAUAUAAUAUAAGUAUUCUUCAUUA
rnacentral:tRNA from 1 species